GCUUACGGCCAUACCACCCUGAACAUGCCCGAUGUCAUCCAAUCUCAGAAGCCAAGCAGGGUAGGGCCUUGUUAGUACUUGGAUGGGAGACCGCCUGGGAAUACCAGGUGCUGUAAGCU
rnacentral:rRNA from 1 species